rnacentral:sRNA from 1 species
UACUGAAAUGUCCGGUAAGUGAUUGAU